AGUGAACGCUGGCGGUAGGCCUAACACAUGCAAGUCGAACGGCAGCACAGUAAGAGCUUGCUCUUACGGGUGGCGAGUGGCGGACGGGUGAGGAAUACAUCGGAAUCUACUUUUUCGUGGGGGAUAACGUAGGGAAUCUUACGCUAAUACCGCAUACGACCUACGGGUGAAAGCAGGGGAUCUUCGGACCUUGCGCGAUUGAAUGAGCCGAUGUCGGAUUAGCUAGUUGGCGGGGUAAAGGCCCACCAAGGCGACGAUCCGUAGCUGGUCUGAGAGGAUGAUCAGCCACACUGGAACUGAGACACGGUCCAGACUCCUACGGGAGGCAGCAGUGGGGAAUAUUGGACAUUGGGCGCAAGCCUGAUCCAGCCAUACCGCGUGGGUGAAGAAGGCCUUCGGGUUGUAAAGCCCUUUUGUUGGGAAAGAAAAGCAGCAGGUUAAUACCCCGCUGUUCUGACGGUACCCAAAGAAUAAGCACCGGCUAACUUCGUG
rnacentral:rRNA from 1 species